GCUGGGUGUGGUGGCGGGCGCCUGUAAUCCCAGCUACUUGGGAGGCUGAGACAGAACUGCUUGAACCUGGGAGGCGGAGAUUGCAGUGAGCUGAGACUGUGCCAUUGCACUCCAGCCUGGGCAAGAAGAGCAAAACUCUUUUUUUUUUUUUUUUUUUUUUUUUUUUUGAGACGGAGUCUCGUUCUGUCGCCCAGGCUGGAGUGCAGUGGCCGGAUCUCAGCUCACUGCAAGCUCUGCCUCCCGGGUUCAUGCCAUUCUCCU
rnacentral:SRP_RNA from 1 species